UCGGAGAAGGGAUAUUCGGUAGAAGUUCCGCUGGAAGAGUACACAUGGAGCUAACAGUUGUCUUCGGUCUAAUCCUGACUUUUUAUUAAAUCAAAAAAAAGAGGUCCAAAUUCAAGAAGAAGUAUAAAUUGUAGUAACUGGACAUUGGAAAUCCUGAAGUACUUGAAGUGUACAUAUUUACAUACACUUUAACAACAUUGAUUGUAAAUGUAACUUUUUACAUCAGUAAUGUACACAUAAAUCCCUUCCCCAUCUGUUAA